rfam:Oryza nivara chromosome 1, whole genome shotgun sequence.
CGGUCUUGAGGCAGGAACUGAGUAGUUGGUGAACUCGCUCUAUGUUGUUCGUUCACUCGCGACGCGGUUCCUGUCCUAAGACCGA